UGCAGUCGAGCGCAGGAAUAAACAGGAACCCUUCGGGGUGAUGUUUAUGGAAUGAGCGGCGGACGGGUGAGUAACACGUGGGCAACCUGCCUGUAAGAUCGGGAUAACUCGCGGAAACGUGAGCUAAUACCGGAUAACACUUUUCAUCUCAUGGUGAGAAGAUAAAAGACGGUUUCGGCUGUCACUUACAGAUGGGCCCGCGGCGCAUUAGCUAGUUGGUGAGGUAACGGCUCACCAAGGCGACGAUGCGUAGCCGACCUGAGAGGGUGAUCGGCCACACUGGGACUGAGACACGGCCCAGACUCCUACGGGAGGCAGCAGUAGGGAAUCUUCCGCAAUGGACGAAAGUCUGACGGAGCAACGCCGCGUGAGUGAUGAAGGUUUUCGGAUCGUAAAACUCUGUUGUUAGGGAAGAACAAGUUGGGUAGUAACUGACCCAACCUUGACGGUACCUAACCAGAAAGCCACGGCUAACUACGUGCCAGCAGCCGCGGUAAUACGUAGGUGGCAAGCGUUGUCCGGAAUUAUUGGGCGUAAAGCGCUCGCAGGCGGUCUUUUAAGUCUGAUGUGAAAGCCCACGGCUUAACCGUGGAGGGUCAUUGGAAACUGGAGGACUUGAGUACAGAAGAGGAGAGUGGAAUUCCACGUGUAGCGGUGAAAUGCGUAGAGAUGUGGAGGAACACCAGUGGCGAAGGCGACUCUCUGGUCUGUAACUGACGCUGAGGAGCGAAAGCGUGGGUAGCGAACAGGAUUAGAUACCCUGGUAGUCCACGCCGUAAACGAUGAGUGCUAGGUGUUAGGGGGUUUCCGCCCCUUAGUGCUGAAGUUAACGCAUUAAGCACUCCGCCUGGGGAGUACGGCCGCAAGGCUGAAACUCAAAAGAAUUGACGGGGGCCCGCACAAGCGGUGGAGCAUGUGGUUUAAUUCGA
rnacentral:rRNA from 1 species